rnacentral:rRNA from 1 species
UACGUAGGGUGCGAGCGUUGUUCGGAAUCACUGGGCGUAAAGGGCGUGUAGGCGGUCCGCUAAGUCUGAUGUGAAAGCCCGGGGCUCACCCCCGGAAGUGCAUUGGAAACUGGCGGACUCGAGUCCCGGAGAGGAGAGUGGAAUUCCUGGUGUAGCGGUGAAAUGCGUAGAUAUCAGGAGGAACACCGGUGGCGAAGGCGGCGCUCUGGACGGUGACUGACGCUGAGACGCGAAAGCGUGGGGAGCAAACAGG